UGAGUAAUGUCUGGGAAACUGCCUGAUGGAGGGGGAGUAACUACUGGAAACGGUAGCUAAUACCGCAUAACGUCGCAAGACCAAGAGGGGGACCGUUCGGGCCUCUUGCCAUCGGAUGUGCCCAGAUGGGAUUAGCUAGUAGGUGGGGUAACGGCUCACCUAGGCGACGAUCCCUAGCUGGUCUGAGAGGAUGACCAGCCACACUGGAACUGAGACACGGUCCAGACUCCUACGGGAGGCAGCAUG
rnacentral:rRNA from 1 species